rnacentral:lncRNA from 1 species
AUUUUAUAUUCUUCUUUCCUCAAUGUCACUCUAGAGGAUUAUAACUGUUUCCCCCUGGUCACCAUUUAGCCUGACAAGAGUAUAUAUUUCUUAUAAACCAAACACACUAGGCCCUGAGCAAAUGAGGCUCACCUCAACAGUGACCACCAGGAGUGGGUCAACAAAUGACCUCCCCUCCUCCCACCAACUCCCACAAAAGUUCUUGCAUAAUUUUCUCUAAUGCCACUCUUCUUCUGGUAGACAUUUCUAUUCAGCCCAAUAGGACCAUCAGAUUUAGAGGAAUCAUAAGAAAAAUCUGAUGCUUGGAUUCAAUUAUUUGGUGGCUGAAAAAAAAAAACAACCCUAAAAUCAUUUUUCUGUUGUGUGUAAAAUACCAAAUGGAUAUGAAAUCUAUAGUGCUCAUCUUUUCCUACAGCCAAGAGAAUGCAUUGCAAGUAUCAAUGACAGUUCUCAGCCCUGGAUCUCCCCAGAUUGAGCCAUCAUAGAGAGCUUCCUCACACUCUUCCACUUUCCUAGUGGGUAAAAGCAGGAGGAGGCCCAGUACCCAUCAGGUUAGGAACAUGGCGGCUUGGGUCUGGAUGAGCUGCCAAGGUAGGGCAACUCCAGCAGGGCCCUGUGGGUCUUCCCUGUUAUUCCUGCUUUCAGCUGCCUACUGAGGGAUAGUGAUCAAUUUCCUCAGUCCUUCUUCCCAUUACAGGGAUGUCCUGUCAGGGUAGAGAACUAUCACUGUCCUCACAGGGAGUUGAUGGCAUUUUAUAUCAACUGACAUUUUGGUAGCCCUGCAAGUGUGGACCCCCCAAAGAGCUCAUUAUUUUUUGCUGUGUUCUCCCAUUCUGUCUGAUCAGCUCUUUCCCUGUGCCAAUGUCAGAAAUCCCCGGAUGCAGGCCAGGUUCCUCACUUGGCACUGAGUGCUCCAAAGGGCCCUUAAGCUAAACUUCCAUCUAAAAUAUAUAUGGACAUAUUUAUAUGGAACCUACUCUUGUAGUAGCCAAGUAGAGGUCUUCCACACCUAUUCCUAAAAUGGCUAGAAUCCCCUAGAAAGGUAUGUAUGUGUGUCUGUAUAUAUGUAUAUACAUUUAUAUGUAUAUAUAUAUGCAUAUUUUUCUUUCUUGCUUUGAACGGUUUUGAGUCUUUUUUUAGUCAAUGAGCUAGUGACUGAGAAGGCUGAUUUGGAUGAAAUGGCAAUGAAAAUAAGAGCUAGUUUAUAAUUUAUAAUAAUUUCAAGUUCCUGAUGGAUAUACUGA